GGGGUCGUAGUCUAGCCUGGAUAAGGCACCAGCCUCCGGAGUUGGUCAUCCCCGGUUCAAAUCCGGGCGAUCCCGCCA
rnacentral:tRNA from 1 species